CUAUUGUGGGUGCAAAUGAAGAACUGCCACACUGGCCGGCUACCUCUUGAAAUGUGCAUCGCAGGACCCGACAACAGAGUGAAAGAGAAAGAGGAGGGGAAGAGGGAGAGAUGCAGACAAGGGGCGGACAGUGUCGGCUGUGGUGGCCCAGCUACCUCGCAGCUCGACCGCCUCCAGAGUCCGAUUUCCUUCUCUUCGGCUGGUUCCUUCCUCCCUCUUCCGCCUCCAACGAUCUCGUCGACGUGGUCGUAGCCACCACGGCAUCUUUGCCCCAGCUUUCCCCAUCCCAACUCGAGGCAAAUCUUGAUAAUGUAAAUGGUGCAACGACUCCUUUACUGCAAGAGCACUCAAAGUUUUCGAUAUUGGGGCACUAUCUUGCUGAUUAUAGUAACGUUGUGCAAAAAACUACUGCCAGUGCAAGUGCCAACGAACAAAAUGUAACUGAGGAAGGAGCUUUUCUAGAAGCAACUCAAACACCAUCAGGAAGUGUAACUUCUGGAAGUAGCUGCCCUUAUUGUAAUCACAUAAUGGAAUCAUGUUUAGACCACUGCUUGCAGCAUUUUGUUGGACAAAGUUGUUGGAUCCAGUUAUGUAAUGAUAAUCAUAGGCUUUCCACUAAGAAGCUCAGCUGGGUCCCUCAGCUACAUCAUAUGCAUUGGAAUGGGUUAUUGCUUAUUUGUAACUUUCAUGUGAUCAUUUAUGAGCAACCAGUUUAUGGUGUCCAUCAUUAUUCGUUGAACUCAUGGUGUUUGUUAGAGCAAGCUAGGACUCAAGCAAGUGUUGCAUCCAAUAUUAAGAAGCCUAAGUGGGUCCAAAAGCUUGAACAAAAGGGUCCAUCUCGUACGUUGGACAUGGUCAUGUUGGCGAUCAAUAAUGCUUCAGCUGCAAAAUCCAUAUUUUCAAGGUGUAUGGCGCCUUGGAAUACAUCAAAGUAUAAUAACAUUACUGACAUGUUGGCAGCUUCUCUCUGGCAAGUGGUCGCUAUUUGUGCGGCUUCAACAUCAGCAUUUCUUUAUGUUAUUAUACAGAUCUGCCAUAAGAUCAUGAAAUAUUGGCUGUUAUCACCGUUAUGCAUGAUAUUAAGCAAACUGUUUAGGCAUACAUGGAAAAAUGUCCACAUCCGAAGUUGUCAACUUCUCUACUGGCCUAUCUACCUCCGAGGUAGUGGUAUCAGACACCAAGCAUGUGUGGAAUAUGCACACAAGGAUGCAGUACGUAAGCAUUCUAUGUGGUUGAGUAUCAUUCUUGAUGUUAUCCUGGGGAACAUCUUUGGGCUUUCUCUGUUGUGCCACCUUGAUGCAGUCUGCACAUGGUACUCAUUGUUGGUUCACAAUGUCACCAAUAAUAUAUUACGUUCAGGUUGUGUUUGGCUGAUGGGUGUCCCUGCUGGUUUCAAACUUAAUACUGAGCUGGCUGAAAUGCUUGGAGUGAUAUCACUGAAUGUAAUCCAAGUGUGGUCUACCUUCUGGUUUUUUAUGAGGCCUUUCCUCAGAUGUUUUGCUAUAGGACUUUCAAUUUCAGGCAUCCUUUUUGGUAUGACAGUAGCAGAAGCACUUUGCCUUGACAUGAUAUUUCUUGUGACAUCCCAUUUAUCCACACUAAAUUGGUUAAUAUCACUUUUGUAUACGCAACAGCUUCAAGCUUUGGCAUCUUUAUGGCGCAUUUUCAGGGGUCGAAAGUGGAAUCCUCUUCGGCUAAGAUUGGAUAGCUAUGAUUAUAGUGUGAAGGAGCAUGUUGUUGGAUCUCUUCUGUUUUCUCCGCUCCUGCUUCUGCUUCCAACAACUUCAGUUUUCUACAUUUUUUUCACAAUUAUUAAUUCAACCAUCACAUUUAUUUGUAUAUUUAUUGAAGUCUCAAUCUCAAUCCUGCAUGCAAUUCCAUGUCCUGAAAUUUUCUUUUGGAUUAUUCAACCAAGAAGAUUUCCCUCUGGAAUAUGGUUUGAAAUAUUGCCAGGCUUCACAAAUCAGCAGAUGCAGGGAAGACCAGAGAGGAUUGUUUCAGUUCUAAACGUCAGCUCUACUAGCUUAGGUCAAAUUAUCCAUCCACAUUACAGACGGAUUUUUUAUGGAGCUUCUUUCCCUUUUGGUGUUUCAUCAGUUUAUGAUCUUCUUAGUGGCACGAGAAUUCCAUCUACUAUAAAUACUGCAAUUCCUUCUACAAUGCCGUGGAUAUCUAUUGACGCUAAACAGAUUUGGUUGGUUGCUCACUCAUCAGUGCUUUCAUUAUGCGGAAAUGAGGGCUAACUUCUCAUCCUUUGUUUAAAUAGUUUCUAUUCCUGCAGAUCCAUGCCUAUCCUUUCCCCUCUGGAGUCGAUGUAUUGCUCUAUCUCUCUGAAGCUGAACAAUAUUGCCUUGUUACCAGCAUCAGUGACAAAGAAGAUGACCAGCCAUGGCACCCUUCUCACAGUUCUUCUCUCCCUCUUUCUAUUCUUCACACAUGGGCUGCUCACCCACCAUGAGGAGAAAGGUGUGAAGAUGAAGGGCAAGGCCUUCAUUCACUUUUGAUCAGGAAGGUUUUCUUUGGAGUAGGUGUUCAACUAUUUUCUUCAACCAUUUGGGUCAGUGGGUUGGCUUUUCAUAAAUUUAUAUACACCACAAAAGGUUUAUUUUGGAGUUCAACUAUUUUAUUCAAUCAUCUGGGUUGGCUUCUCAUCAAUUUAUAUACACCACAGAGAAAAUGAAUUAAUAGAAAUAAUCUGUUGCUGUAAACUAUUGUUUCUUUGUGGUUGGUCUGAUGGGGAGAGCAGUACAGAAUCAAUUAUAUAAUCUGAUCAAUAUGGGACAUGGUAGGUCGUUUUGCUAUAAAUGACACAAAAAAAAAUACAUGCAUGAUAAGCAGAUAAUAACCUUUUUCUACUAUGUCAUGUGGUCAUGCCUAAAAGGAUGCUGAGCCUGUGUGAUCACUUCAUGAAGCAAGAGUGAACAUGGGACAUGGUCAAAGCAGUCUCAGGUCUAGUGAACACAUCAUUUUACCUUUUUGUCCAAGUAUGGAUUCAAUCAACUUUGUCCAAGCCCAAUAUCAUUUUUGUUUAUUAAAGCUUUUAUUUAUUUUUUAAUGUUUCUUUCUUUAUUUGGUCAAUGGGGUUAUUCUUCAUCUUAUGAAUUGUGAAUGUUUUUCCGGUAUGUUGUUCAUCAAUAUAUAAAGUAUUUUGUUCACAAUAUGUUUCUUUUGUUAUCUAAUAGUCACACGCUCACCACCCAUGUAACAUAGCUUGCACAAAGUAUUUCAUAGUCAACCUUAGUUCAAAUCGCAAUGUGUUAAAUGGUAAGAUGUGCAGCACAGGUAGCAUAUUGUGCUCUGCUGAAAUAUCCAGUGAAUUGUGUAAUAUGCAGGUGAUGCUUUUAUUGAGAAAUUUUAAGAAUAUGUUUCAGAAAUCUUGAUUGUCAUGUGUGGGAAUUUUGGCGCUCUAUUCCAAUGUGUCAUUGUCCUAAGCAUAGGAAUGUCCAGAUUCCACAAGGGUAGGAAUCACUUCUAGUCUUCUACUGAAGUAUGUUGAGUAAUGGAUGCUUAGGAAGGAUGGCUGAUUUUUCUUUUUCUAAUUUUUCAGUUAGAUUUUUAGCCUUUUAAGUUCAUCAAUCAAUUUACGCCAAAUCGGCAAUACAGAGAGGAAUAUUUCACUGAUUGUUUUGGAAAGGCAGUAAGAGUAUUGAAAAGGGCAAAAUUCAUAUGGAGUUUUCUGAACCUGAUUUCAUGCUUACAGAGCCAGGCAUGGACCAUGCAGUCAUCACCUAUUUGACUUACAAAACUUAGACGGUUAGACCAGUUAAUCUGAUAAGGCUACUUGCAUUGCAUUCGCUUGGUAUACGUCAAACAUCAAUAUUUAGAGUCUGUAACAAAAAUUUGAAAAUCUCAUUUGCUAAAAAUUGAACUGCAGGGUACAUGACUUUCAACCAAGGUUGCAUUUUCUUCACUGUCGUCACAGCUGUUCACUAUUGCACUUGUGAGUUGUGAUUGUUGAACUCAGGGUUAUGCUUGUGAUUGACAGUAGCCUGUUAAGGGUCUUGGCUUUCAAAGAAGGUGCUUAAGAAUCACAAAUUGUACCUCAUUAUAUUACCUCUGAUUUUUUCUCUGCUUGGGAUGGAGAAUCAUAGGUAUCCACAACAGCUUAGCAAAACCAAUAUGCAAUUUGUUAUAUGAUAUUUGGCCUUGUAAUGUGCUUUCUUCAACCUGUAGGUCCUCAUAAAGUUUUCAAUAGGUUGUAAGUAUUGUAAAUGUGGCAGACAUCACAAGAUAAUUGUACCCAAAAUGCUUCAUUGAAUUGAAGUGUAGAUGGACCUGAGGUCCUGAAAUAAUUUAGUUAGGAGGAAUACAUGUUACUCUUAGGGUACAGGAAGCACAACAUGGAAUUUUUGUAAACUAGUGACGACUUUCUGAUAAGCCCAGUUCUGCAUGAAAGGAAGUUUCCUCUUAAUUAUUGUCUUUGAAAGAAUGCCAGAAAAGCUGACGUAUCUGUAGGUACUUGAAUGUAAUUUGUUAUUCCAUCCUUUAAUAUAGUUUUUGCAUUGAAGCUUCAUUCUUAUUGGAUUCAUAUCCUUCAAGAGCAUCUUGCUCCCAAUAUGAAUGGAUAAGCACAAAGCUUCUGUUUCAAUAAUUGUUUUUCUAGGAGUUUGGAAACAUGGUUACCUUUGUCAUGAAGAAGGGUCAAUUGAUUGCCUUAUUUUUUAUUAGGGGUAAAUCUUCCUCUUUCAAGAGUGGUCAGCGUUGGUCUUCUGAAUGUUAGAUGACAUUCCAUGGCCCAAUAGUCUGGAAAAGGCAUAUUAUUGCAAACAUGGAAGAACAGAGCUUGGCAGGUGCAAUUGGUACGAUAACUGAAGGCAUUCAACAGCUAUGUGGUCCGAUUGCUUUUAAAAAUUAAAAUACUGGAUGGAGAAAAUCUGGUUGUGACUUGUCCUCAUCAGAACGCUGUUUGGUUCCUGCAUUUGUAAAAAAGGUCACUAAUCCAUAUGAUGGACAGCUGAGAUGUGGAAAGACUCAGGGGCUGAGAUUAUGAAUCACUAUUCUUUUUGGAAUAGCAAACAGAAGGCCAAACUAUUUGCAAUUCAAUGGGUUUGAGAAGAUCAGCAGAGUUUCAUUGAUUUGGUAGCAGACAAAUUCUUGUACCAUUGUCAAAUAUAUUUGCAAUUUUGAAUUGAUUCAUUUAUAAAAGAACAAAGGCUACAUUUUUCAUGUAGUUGAAUGCUUGUGCAGUGUCAAUCUGCAUGACUUGUCGUUGUGGCUGCUGAUCAAUAUGCAGUUGCAAAGGUUUUGAAGAGUUAUGAUCUUGAAUA